GCCCAUCCUGUCCUAUCCUCUUGUACAGAAACAGCUAAUGGCCUGGAGUGCUGGAAACCUACAAACUAUUGUCGCCUAUUUCCCAGGACUGUGGGCCUGAUACUCAGUAUCACCGGUGGAAAUCAAAUAGUGGCCAGAAGCCGAGGAGUCCCCGGCAAAUCCGUGUGCCGAUUGGGGUGAACCCAUUGGAAGUCUGUGCGGUUCCUCCGCCCUCCCGGCUGCGUGUCCGGAACGUUCCCGGCUGUCAGGUGGGUGGCGGCGAGCCUGGGCGGGCAAGCCCUGCGGGGCAGCGUGGCGCGCUCGCGGGGUGGAGAGGGAAAGCCCCGCGGAGUGCGGCGCGUCCCACGGCCGGCCGCCGCUCACCUUUGUUGGCCUGUCCUCGCUGCCAGAGAUCGGCCAAGGAGGAGUGCGGGGAGCGACCCCACAGCUCGCGGCCCUCUCCGGCGCCCGGAGGAACCCGGAGGCAAGCCAGGGACCCCCUCCGGAUCCCUGAACGGCAGCCGGACCGAGGGAUCAGCAACCCCUUCUUGAACACAAAGGACCUCUCUGCUGUCCCGCAGGUCCUGCUGUGUCUUCCAAGCACGUGCAACAGGAAGUGUUGAGUUUCUCCCUGACUGUGAGUCCUGCUGGCCCAGGAGACUUCAGGCCCAUCACCAGAGGCAAGGCAGCCAUCUUCCAUAGACAUCUUCAUCAGCAUCUACAUUGCGGGAAGAGAAGGAGCAUGAAGGAAUCGAUGACCCUGAUUGCCGAAGAACCAGCUCAGGUCCAGUUGUUACAACGUCAAGAUGUAUAGAAGGGAAGGAAACCCCAGACACUCUCAUCCCUGCAACGCGGUGGAAUGCUUGGAUUUGGCACACAGGUCUGAAAGCCACGCGAUCAUAGCAAGCAAGAGGAGAACAGUCAGCUAACCUCUCAAAACAGAGAACAGUUCUAGAAAACAUGGAAGAUUGCUGGAAUCUCUCGAAGCCAUGUCCUCUAUGUGAGAAAAGACCAAGAGACAGGGACAUUAUUCGUGGGAGGACAAGCCAUCUUGCCACUUGUUUUCACUGUACCAGAAAUUAAAGAAGGCUGGGGCUUCAUGCCCUAUUUGCAAGAAAGAGAUUCAGUUGGUUAUGAAGGCUUUAAUGGUCUAUCAGUGGUCGGCAAACUCAUUAGGCAACAGAGCCAAAUAUCAACAGUACAACGAUUGAAAUUUCUUUUGAGAGCCAAAUUUUUCAACUUAAACUAUAUUGGUAGGUACAUUGUUAUUAACUUAAUUAGGGUACUCCUAAGGCUUAGGAAGAGCCACACUCAAGGGGCCAAAGAGCCGCAUGUGGCUUGCGACCCGCAGUUUGCCAACCAUGGGUCUAACUGAAUCAGUGAAUUAAGGAAAUAUUAGCAGGGUCAGAUCAUGUAUCAAAACAUCAGUAUUGGGUAUCUCUACCCAGUGCGAAUCAUUGUAUCUGUUCUCUUAUUCAUAUAAACAUUUUUAUUCCAGGAUAUUUUUGUUUCAAAACUCACAUGGAAAUUGAGAAUGAAUUCUUUAGAACUAGAUGAUUAAUGUGGGGGCUCCAUUAACACAAAGAGAUACGUUAAUCAUUUUAUUCUCCCUUCAAAGAUGAGGAUCUGGGAGGAAGCAACUACCAGUAAAAACAAAAAUACAGUCAUUCAUUUAUUUACCAAACUACUUGAAGAUCAAUCAUUUCUUUAGUUAAUUUUAGUCCUUACUCUUAUUUUCUGUUGGGGAUUUUUAUAUUGUUAAUUAAAUUGCAGUUGACAUUCAAUAUUGUGUUGGUUUAGAUGUGCAGCAUAGCGGUUGGACAUCAGUAUGGCUUGUGGGGUGCGCCCCCCCCAUUGGUCUAGUGCCCACCUGACACCAGGCAGGAUGGGGAAGACAGAGAGAGAAUGGAUCUGAAGCAGCAAGUGGAGGAUAACCCACACAUAGAUCUUUCUUCUGCACAGCCUUUUGCCAUCCUUCUGCCCAACUCUUUAUCACUCUGUAGAGUCAUUCAUUGACAGUGUGGGUGGACAGAGAGAAUGGGUAAACUAAGUCUUUCUGGGUUUUGUUAUGCUCCCCAUUUUAAUUGGGGCAAAUUAUUGUAUUGAAGGAAAACCUCAGUCAAAACCAGGACAACGGAAGUUUCAAGAGGCAACCUGGACAGUCUGGAUCCAAAUUUGGUGCCUUGUUUCUAAAGCAUAAAUAUGGUUUGGCGUUUAGUUUGUAAUGGAGUUUGGUCUUUGUAGGCAAAAGGUAAUUGAGGUCAACAAAUUGUUCCUAAUUCUUUCCACUUCGCUCGAUUGCGUGGGGCCCCGCAAUCUGCAGGACCCAGCGGGGAGAUGUCCUCACAAGCAGGAGGGUUUGUUCAUCAACCUGGAAGUGGCUUCAAGUUUUACUUCCUUUUAGAGAAGUUCAAAAUGUCCGAGAACUCAGCUUGAAAUGAACAAGCCCUGAGAGGUUUCACUUUCACAUCAGAGUAACUAUUUUAUUCUGUUAUCUAGGCAAUUGAUACAGAAACCGCACUUUGCUGCUCUGGAAUAAGAGUUCCUACUUUUUUUAAGACUUGUAGCUCUACAUGUUUUUUCCAUGUUUUCUGAGGGGCCAGGUAAAAGGAGACUAUAUUGUUAUCCUGACCUGGAAAGGCCUAACUAAAGGUUUGUUAAAGUUUAUUAUAUCUCUAACACAUUUUUAAUAAGUUUAUAAGAUCCUGUUAAAAGUUAAAAGUGGUGCCCUGGCCAGUGUGGCCCAGUGGUUGAGUGUCAACCUAGGAACCAGGAGGUCAUGGUUGGAUUCCUGAUCAGCGCACGUGCCUGAGUUGCAUAUUGAUCCCCAGGGUGGAGCGUGCAGGAAGCGGACAGUCAAUGAUUCUCAUCAUUGCUGUUUCUAGAUCUCUCUCUCUCUCCCCCCCUUUC